UACAGAGGUCUCAAGCGUUGUUCGGAUUCAUUGGGCGUAAAGGGUGCGUAGGUGGCGCUGUAAGUCGGGUGUGAAAUUUCGGAGCUUAACUCCGAAACUGCAUUCGAUACUGCGGUGCUUGAGGACUGGAGAGGAGACUGGAAUUCAUGGUGUAGCAGUGAAAUGCGUAGAGAUCAUGAGGAAGACCAGUGGCGAAGGCGGGUCG
rnacentral:rRNA from 1 species